rnacentral:rRNA from 1 species
UAUCGAUCUGAAAUCAGGUGGGACUACCCGCUGAACUUAAGCAUAUCAAUAAGCGGAGGAAAAGAAACUAACAAGGAUUCCCCUAGUAACGGCGAGUGAAGAGGGAACAAGCUCAAAGUUGGAAUCUAUCUGGCUUAGCCAGAUCGAAUUGUAAACUUUAGAGUCGUUAUCCAGAUCAGCCGAGUAAAUAAGUUCCUUGGAAUAGGACAUCAUGGAGGGUGAGAAUCCCGUCUUUGGCUUGAGCAUUGAUCUUUUGUGAUGCGGCUUCAACGAGUCAGGUUGUUUGGGAAUGCAGCCUUAAUUGGGUGGUAAAUCUCACCUAAAGCUAAAUAUUGGCGAGAGACCGAUAGCGAACAAGUACCGUGAGGGAAAGAUGAAAAGAACUUUGAAAAGAGAGUUAAACAGUAUGUGAAAUUGCUGAAAGGGAACCGUUUGAAGCCAGUCUGGCUGGUCUGCAAUCAGCUUCGGCUUUUGCUCGGAGUGCACUUGUAGGCCGUCGCCUGCCAACAACAGUUUAUUCUGUAGCAAAAAGGUGCUGAGAAUGUGGCUUGCCUUCGGGUAAGUGUUAUAGCUCGGUACGAAAUACUAUGGAUUAGACUGAGGAUCGCAGUGGAUGCUUUUUGGCUUUGGAAGUGGGUUGCUCAGAUGUUACCAAGGUAGUUUCGACCGUAAAAAAGUCGUGCUGGUUUGUUGAUGCCUGACUCGGCCUGCUUGCUUUUAAUUCACUUUGGUUGUUGGCGUAAUGGCUUUAAACGACCCGUCUUGAAACACGGACCAAGGAGUCCACCAUAGGUGCAAGUAUUUGGGUGCCAAACCCAUAUGCGAAAUGAAAGUGAUUUGGUAUGAAUCCCUUGAGGAGGCAAUACCGUCCGGCGUUGACGUUUUAACUGACAUGACCGAGACAAAGCACUUAUGAUGGGACCCGAAAGAUGGUGAACUAUGCCUGAAUAGGAUGAAGCCAGAGGAAACUCUGGUGGAGGUCCGUAGCGAUUCUGACGUGCAAAUCGAUCGUCAAAUUUGGGUAUA